AGCCAGGGUGGCAUAGUGGUUAAGAGCACCAGGCUAGGACCUGGGAGACCAGGGUUCAAAUCCCCACUUGGCCG